CCUGGCCUCUCUCCAUUCCAGACCUGUGUUUCCAGUAGUUUCUACACGUCGGUGGAUGUGUCAUCCCCACCGGAAACUCACAGCUCUGAAAGCAGUCUCUUCAUCUUUGCUCGCCCCAUAAGCAGCCCGCUACUCAUCUUCCUGGUCCAGUCACCUGAGGCCGAAUCUCACCACCUCUCAGAGAAGGAGGAGCACGGCCCCUGGCUUCUCUGUCAGGUGCGAAGGUCUGGAGAGGUGAAGGGGGCUUGAAGCCCGGAAAGAGAUGCAGCACCAACAGGGAGCCUCCCACCUGGCUGAGUCUCCAGGUCGGUUGAAUGAGCUCCCAGAAACAAGAGCUCAGCUGCCCUGCCCCAGGGAGGGGCGGGACCCUGCAGGACACGACCCAUGACCUCACCUCUCCUGGCUCCCGGCAGCAGCCCUGCCCACCUCUGGAGAAUUCCAUGACUCAGCCUACUCAAGGGUGCACUGCCCAGAUGGAUUUUUUUGCUCACCAUCGGCAAGUCAGUUCACCCCCAAAGCGUAAAAACAGAGCCUGCUGUUUCCAGUUAUUCUCCCUCCCCUCGCCCUCGUCAGCUCUGAUUCUGCCUGAGCGUGUGGACAGCGGGGUGAGGCACUGGGCAGCAAAGGCUGCAAGUGUCCCUGAGCACGUGCCUGGGGCCUGGUGCUGCCCUCACUGAGUGCCCCAGUGGACGGGCAGAAAGUUCAAGGUCAACAAUCAAUGAGCCAGCAACGCACAGGAUGCGGGAAGGGAUGGAAGAAGCAAGACUGUUCCUGAAGGCUCAGCUCCUUCGAAACACACAGUGAACGUGGAAGUGAACCUGGACAUUCUUUAGAAAACACCCCCAGCCCACCUAUCUCCCAAGAUGCUGUGGCCGCAGUCGCUUCCAAAGCCGACUCUGGGGGAUGGAGGAACCGCCAUUCGUCCACGUAGCCUGUGUGUGGGAGCCCUGGUGAGGAAGUGGCUAUGUGUUCAUCCACCAUGCACACCUCCUGGCCUUCCACAAGCCCUUGCCCUGGAAACAGUCCCCUGGCUCUCGGGCAGCCUCAUUCAACUGUAGAAUCCGAGAGCUGGGACACAGGUGACUUCCGGAGGGGGGUUCUCUGCCUUUCCCCUCUGCCCCUGAUCAUAGCCUACACUGUUGGGUAACUGUCCACCCUUGCCUUUCUCUUCCUUCUUCCUAAAAGAGCCUGAUUUACAUUCUGGUAUUCUCUCUCCUUCAUACAGCCGAUCCAUCCAGGUUCCAGAUCCUGAUUCGUUUGCCGUGAUGGUGGAACUCUCUCCUUGCCAAUGAUGCUUUAGGAAUGGGUGUGGGAAGCAGUCCUGGGCAUAGAAAUGUGAAGGGACCUCUGGGAGAGGAACCCCACUCCCAAGCUGUGCCCUAGAUGAGAUCAUGCCUUGAUGCAACAUCAGGAACUGCUGCAGCCCUCUUGUGACUAUGAGCUGAGCCACUCAGAGGGUGUUAAAGCCACAGAUGGGCAGAGUUUGGGUCCUUAAGAUGGCAUUGGGUGCUGCAUUAGCCCUCUCUGGGACUUCCUAUUAUGUGAAAUUAUACUGGCUAUUAUUUUUUUCCCCCUAUAGUUUUUAGCAUUUGUAAAAAAUUUUUAUUUUAUUAUUAAUUUUGGCCGAGUUGGGUCUUCGUUGCUUCAUGUGGGCUUUCUCUAGUUGCUGCCAGCGGGGGCUACUCUUUCUUGCAGUGCACGGGCUUCUCACUGCGGUGGCUUCUCUUGUUGCAGAGCACGGGCUCUAGGCAUGCGGGCUUCAGUAGCUGUGACACGUGGGCUUCAGUAGUUGUGGCCCACGGGCUCUAGAGCGCAGGCUCAGUAGUUGUGGCGCACGGGCUUAGUUGCUCCGCGGCACGUGGGACCUUCCCGGACCAGGGAUCGAGCCCAUGUCCCCUAGCACUGGCAGGCAGACUCUCAACCACUGUGCCACCAGGGAAGUCCCCUAGCUCUUAUUUAUUGAGUGCUUAUCAUGUUCUAGAAACUGUGCUAAAUGCUGGCAUAUUCAACAAAUAUUCCUUGAGGUCAGGUACUGUUAUGGGUGGGGUAGACACACAGAAAUCAGGCAUAAACCCCUGACUUAGAGAAUUUACAUUCUCCAUGCUUUAAGUACUAUCUCACUUAAGAUUCAAACAGCGUGAGGUAAAGUGACAGAUGCCACACUGUGGCUCAUGCAGCACACUCCCACCCCUGUGGACUGGGCUUUCCUGACAGAGGCUGGAGAGCAAAAAUGCUUCACUUUCUAGGCUCUCCUGCAGCUGGGGCUCUGCAUGCACCCAGCUUUCCCGAAGUGCUCCGGCUGAGACUUGGAAAGUGAAGAGUGAGCAUCCGGUGGUGGCAGGUACAUGGGCAUUUGGGCUUGGUUCCUCUUGGGCAGCUGUGGGCAGAGUUUAGUGGCUGGUCUCUUAGCUGCGUGGAUGGGUGCUGAGUGCUGGGUGAGGCCGCAGCCAAGCUGCCUCUCAGUCCUGGGGAGCAACUGGCCAUUUCUCCUGGCCGUGUAGCACGUAAGCUUAGUUCCCCAGCCCAGCCCGGAAUUUGGUGGCUACCUAAUACCCAGAAAUAAAUCCUUUUCUGCCUAAAUUAGCUCGCGUAGACUACAUGAUUGCUGCAAAUAACAUCACCUAAAAUGUGCCAUUGAGCUUGAGGAGGUGGUUGGGUGGUAGAUGGUUAAGAAUCCACCCACUGUGGCUGAAAAUCCAGUGUCCCCUGUUAGGCAGUGGGAAAGUAUUAGGCCAAGCUGCUUCCUCUCUUGCGUAGGAAGGAGGGCUAUGGCCAGGCACUGAGCUGGGGGCAGGGACAGGGUGACUUUGGGUUUAUCCUCUUUGAGGAGCGUGUGUGGUGCUCUUUGUGGGGAAACGAGACUGCAUGCGGAUGUUGGAUAAGGGAAGGUAGAGACCAGCAGGUGGAACCCUCCUUUACUCCCUUUGCAGCUGCAAUAGCAAUGUUGAGCCUUCCAGCCCAUGAAUCUAAUACGCUUCCACUUACUUAGGGCUUUAAUUUCACUCUUUUUUUUAAGAUUGAUCUCUGGGAACUUAAUGGAUUUUAAAAAUGCUACUGUAAAUGGUACACUUAAAAAUUUUCAUUUUCUAAUUGUUGCUGGCAUAUAGAAAUACAAGUGAUUUUUGUAUAUGACCUGGCACCCAGAAACCUCGCUCAUUCUGCUAGUUUAUUGGUAGAUUCUUUUAGAUUAUCUGAAGUAAUCAUGUCAUCUGCACAUGAUGACAGUUUUUCUUUCCGUCUAAUCCAAUUUUACCUUUUUUCUUUUUUAAAAAAACACUAGGCUAAGACCUCAGGUACUAUUUCCCCCCAACACACAGUGAAACUGAAAGAAUUGUACAGUGGACACCUGUAUACCCACCAUCUAGAUUCUACCAUUCUAGAUUUUAUGAAGCUUACCAAACUAGUUUUAUCACACAUCUCUCCAUCCUUCUAUUCAUCCAUCAAUCCAUUCUUUUCCCCGUUUUGUGAUGCAUUUCAAAGUAGUUGCAGACAUCAGUAUACUUUCCCCUAGUACUUUGGCAUGUAUAUCAUUACCUAGUACCAUCUUGAAUAGAGGUGUUAAUGGACAUCAUUUUCUUGCUCCCAAUCUUAGGAGGAAAGUUUUUGAUAUUUUAAGUAUGAUGUGUUUGCUGUAGGUUUUUUGUAGAUAUCUUUAUCAAAUGGACAUUUCCUUAUUUUUCUAGUUUGCUUAAACAUAUCACCCAAUGAUUUUUGAAUUUUAUCAAAAAAUUUUGUCCACACCUAUUAUCAUUUACUUUUCUUUCUUUAUUCUGGUAAUGUGAAUGACUCAUUGAUUUUUGAAUGAUAAGUCCAAUUUAAUCUUUUAUAUAUUGCUACUUUCUAUUUGCUAAUGUUUUGUUUAGACCUUUCGCAUCUACAAUAACGAGAAAGACUGGCCUGCAAUUUUAGUUUCUUAUACUGUUCCUGUCAGAUUUUUGACAUCUAAGUUUAUGCUGGUCUCAUAAAAUCAAUUUGGAGGUUUUCUAUUUUCUGGAAGGGUUUGUGUAAGAUUGGCAUUAUUUCUUUCUUAGAUGUUUGGUUGAAUUCACUAGUGAAGCCAUCUGGGCCUGUCGAUUUCCUUGUGAGGAGAUUUUAAAUUAUGUAUUCAAUUUAGGCAAUAGAUAUAGGAUGAUUCCAAUUUUCAAGACCUUCUGAUGUCAGUUUUAGAAAGCUAUUUUUUUUAAAUACAGAAAUAUGUUCAUUUAAUCCAAAGCUUUAUUGAGGCAUAAUUGACAUACAAAAACUGCAUAUAUGUAAAGUGCACAAUUUGAUUAGUUAUGACAUAUGUAUACACUCCUGAAACAUCACUCCAUCUAGAUUUAGAAUUUAUUAGUAUCUAUAACAUCCUCUUAAAUAUUUUUAACGUCUGCCUAAUCUGAAUGAGUUCGCCCAUUUUUACUUCUGAUACCAGUUAUUCCUCUGUCCCUCUCCCACUCUCCCACCUGUUCUCCUUCCUUCUUGAUCAGUCUUGUUACAGGGUUGUCAAUCCCUUUAAAGAACCAACUUUUCACUUUCUUGAUUCCCUUUAUCGUAUAUUUGUGUUCUAUAUUUUGGCUUUUAUUUAUGGGUUUCAUUUGCUUUUUCUUUAAAAUUUAAUUUCUAGGUGGUUGCUCAGAUAGUUGAUUUUCAGCCUUUCUUCUAUUUGAACAUAUGCAGUUAAAGGUAUAAAUUUAUAAGCAUAAUUUCAGUUGCAACUCACAAUUUUUCUUCUCCCUAAGUUUCAAUAUGUAGUAUUUUCAUUAUUCAGCUUGAAAUAAUUCAAAUUAUCUUUAUGAUUUCUUCUUUGACAGAUGGGCUAUUUAGAAAUCUAUUUAACUUCCAAAUAUAUGAGGAUUUUUACAUUAUCUUUCUGUAAUUGAUUUCUACCUUAACUGCACUGUGGUCAUAUUUCAUUGGAAUUAACUCUCUUGAAGUUGUUGAGACUUGUUUUAUAGCUCAGCAUACAAAUUUUGGCACAUGUGCCAUUUGUGUUUGAAAAGGAAGCCGUUGAAUGUAGUGUUCUACAUGUACCUAUUUGGCCAAGCUUUCUAACUGCAUUGUUUAAAUUUUCUAUAACUUGAUUUUUGUAUGCUUGUUUUUACUAUUACUGAAAUAGAUGUGCUAAAAUCUCACUAUGAUUGCAUAUUUGCCAAAAUUUCCUAGUUCUAUCAACUUUUAAAUUUGAGAUUGUAUCACUAAGUGCAUAAAAUUUAGAGUUACUACCUCUUUCUGGUAAUUGAAUUGACUUUUUAUUUCUAAUAAAGUUUUUGCCUUAAAGUUUGCUGUAAUAUUAAUAUAGCUACACCAGUUUCCUAUAGUUUCUGUUUGCUGGGUGUAUAUUUCUCCAUCCUUUUCUUUUUCAAAAUUCGUAUUUUUUUAUUAAUUAAAUUUUUUAUAGAUUUCAUUUAAAAAUUUUUUAUUUUAUUAUUUAUUUUUGGCUGCAUUGGGUCUUCGUUGCUGCAUGUGGGCUUUCUCUAGUUGCAGCGAGCAGGGGCUACUCUUCGUUGCGGUGCGCGGGCUUCUCAUUGCGGUGGCUUCUCUUGUUGUGGGGCAUGGGCUCUAGGUGCGUGGGCUCAGUAGUUGUGGAUUGCAGGCUCUAGAGAGCAGGCUCAGUAGUUGUAGCGCACAGGCUGAGUUGCUCCGCAGCAUGUGGGAUCUUCCCGGACCAGGGCUCAAACCAGUGUCCCCUGCAUUGGCAGGCAGACUCUUAACCACUGCAUCACCAGGGAUGUCCUCAAAAUUCGUAUGUUUUAAAAAGUGCUUCUUGUAAACAGCAUAUAGUUGUUUUUAUUUUCAUUUUUUACUGUUAAAUUCUUUUCUUCUAGUUUUAUUGAGAUGUAAUUGACAUACAGCACUGUACAAGUUUGAAGUGUACAGAAUAAUGAUUUGACUUACAUAUAUCAUGAAAUGAUUACCACAGUAAGUUUAGUGAUCACCCAUCAUCUCAUACAGAUACAAAAUUAAAGAAACAGAAAAAAAAGUUUUUCCUUGUGAUGAGAAUUCUUAGGAUGUAUUCUUUUAACAAUGUUCAUAUAUAACUUACAGCAGUAUUAAAUUAUAUUUAUCAUGUUGUACAUCACAUCCCUAGAUCUUAUAACUACUAUGGUAGUUCUUUUUAAAUCAAGCCUGACAAUCUUUGUCAACACUUGAGUGUUAGUUAGCCCAUUUACAUUUAAUGUAAUAAUGGAUUUAUCAUGUAUAUCUUACAACCUGCUUUCUAUUUGUACCACCUAUUCUUUUUUCUUCCCUCCUUUUGCAGCUCUUAAACCUGUUCAUUGAAUUAUUCCAUAUUCCCUCAUUGGCUUGAAAGUUACACACCUUUUAACUAAUAUUUAUUACAAUACACAUCCUAGACUUAUCAAAGUCUAACAUUAAAUUGGAUUUUUAAAAACUCUCUUCUUGGAUGAUGCAAGGGUCUUAGAACACUUAAACCCUAUUAAAAGCCCUCCCCACCUAUAUACCUUUACUUGAACACAUUUCGAUAUAUAUUUAAACUUCACAAGACAUAAUUAUUUUUAUGUAGUUAGUAUUUAUGUUACCUGUACAUUUCUCAUUUUCAUUGCUCUUCAAUCUUUCCUGAAGCUCUAUCCUUACAUUUGGGAUCAUUUUCCUUCUGCCUUUAGAAUACUUUUAAUUUUCCUUUAGGGUAUGUGUGCUGAUGAAUUCUUCCAGCUGUUUGUGUAAAAAUGUCUUUACUUCUUCUGCAUCCUUGCAGGAUAUUUUCCCCAAUUAGAAAAUUCUAGGUUGGCAGUCAUUUUCUUUCAGCACUUCAAAGGCUGUUUCUGCUGAGAAGUUAGCUGUCAGUUUAAUUGUUGCUCCUUUGAUGGUAAUCCCUCUCCUACCCACGCCUCACCCCUCAGUAGCUUUAAAAUUUUUCCUUUUCUUUGGUUUUCAACAGUUUUACUGUGAUGUGUCUAGGUGUGGAUUGUGGUGUUUUUUUUUUUUUUUUCAGUACGUGGGGGCCUCUCACUGC